UCAGAUAAAACCCUAAGUCUGGAUCUUGAUUUCAUUUGGAUCCUUUUCUUUAUUUAUUUGAUAAUUAAAUUUGAUACUUAAGGACCGUCAACAAACUCCCCCAAGCUUACCUCUUGCUCGUCCCUGAGCAAGGAUAGACUCAGCAAUGGAUCAUAAGUAGUUGCAAUAUCUUUAAAAAUUGACGGUACACAUGCUUUUUAAAUAAGAUCUCAUCUCUGAGUUAGAGUAAACUGUCAAGACUUAAAACUUACUUACUUUACCUUCACCAUGGGACUUGUAACUGUCACUUCCGUCUUGAGUGGUUAAAAGAUAGAACAGUCUAGCCAAGUGCCAUGUCUCUUAUUCUUGAUCAUCUAUAGCUCUGGGGUUUUUGCAGAUUUUCAAAUAAAACUCAGAGAUUCCUUGUAUGAUUCUCUCAGAUCUCUCUUUUGUGGUAUUUUUGGAUCCUUACCAAGGCAUUGAUGGUAUAUGCCUUCUCUCAAGAUAUGUAGUAUUUGUGGUAUAAGGCAUAGUGACAUUGCCUUCUCUCUCACCCUACUCUAAUAAGGCUUUAAUAUCUGGAGCUCAUAGGUGGGAGAUAAAGUAUACAUACUCACAGGACAUUUAUUGCAUAGUCAAACCAUGGAUCCAAAGAAACAAAUCAAUAAGCCAAAUCAAGAUGUGCAUGUGUGGCGAAUGAAUGGUGUAUGGUGAUGAUGGUGAUAACAAUGGUGAAAACAAUGGUGGUGGAAGUCUAAUUCUACUUUGCUCUUUUUAGGGGAUACAUACCUUCCUUGCUUUUGAAACUUUAUGAGGAGAAUGAGAUGCUCUUCUUUUUCUUGUCUCUGAGGUGGGUAUCUUGUACCCCUAAUUCUACUGUCGGACAGUUGUCCAUUUUUACCUCUCGUCUCACUCUUUCUUUUCUUUCGAGGUUCCGAGCACUUGCUCCUUUUUAUUUUCUCGUAUAUUUUUUUUAUUUUCUUCUUUUUUUUAGAGCACUCAUCUCUUGAGAUAAUAUAGCAAGUGGUAGUAACAAGAUAACUUGAGCAUUUAUUUCACAAGGGGAAACAGAAAUAUUUUUGGUUAUUCUCUCCCGGAUUAGGAGUAGAAUAUUUUUAGGUGGUUCUGGAGAUGGAAAUGGAUGGAUAUAUGUGGAUGGUACUUCCGGAGUAGAAGUAGCAUAUAUGAGUGAACGUGCAAGUGAAAUCUUGAUUUAACCACAUGACAAGCUCCUAAGGGUCUACACAGCUUGACCACACUCAAUGCUCAUAAGCAGUAAAUAAUAAAUGUGUGGCUCAAAGUCUAGCAAGCAUGUAUAUAUGGCGGUGGUAGGAAUUUAAGCUCUCAUCAUACAGGAACUCAUCAUGCAACAUUUUAAAGAUUUUCAAAGAUAAAAUUCUCCAGAAUUCUAGCAUCUCUAGGAACAGAUAAACAGCAGCUCAACCUUCCCAUAUCGUAUCCGUUAACAACUUAGACUUCAGAUCAAGUUUUCAUCCCACAAGUUUAGGUCUAGGGCAAGCUUUAAAUUAUAACAGUUAUAUCUAAACUUGAGAGAGAACUUAGAAUGUGCAAAUUAGGUAGAGCAACUAUUCAUCAUAUCCAUGCUUAAGUUUUUGUUUAGAUACAGAUUAGCAUAGCCACUUUAUUUAUUUAUUAAACACACUAAGCAAAAGACAUAUAUAAGCAUAAAAUCUUUAUUUGGUUUUCCCAUAGUUUAUGUGUAUUUUAAUAUUCUAAAAUAAUAUAAGUAUAAAAAUAGAUAGAAAUACUUAUCGAGGUAAAUGGGGGUUUUCCCAUAGUUUAUGUGUAUUUUUAUUUUCUUUUUAGGAUAGUGCGAACAUGAUUAACUAAGUAAACUAGUUGAAAUAAUUAAAAGGGAAAGGAUAACUACUAAGUUUACCUCUUGGCAGGGCGUUCGGUGUUUUUAAGUCCUCCGAACGGGACUCUCCAAUUUCUUAAUCGUCCUGAGGUUCGUUGGGUGGCGAAGUCGUUACUUCUGGCAGCGCCUCCUCUUCUUGUAUAGUUAUCUUCAUUUUCCAUACCUGACUCGAUGCUUCAAUCUCCUCUGGAUAAUUCUGUUUAAACUCCACGUCUUCUGACCUUACAACUUCUCCUUCAUAGUCUGCCCAUCCGUCCUUGAUGAUCUGCCUCCUCUGGUUGCGGUUGCGUCUCUUUCUGACCUGCUUAGAUUCUUCAAUGAUAUAGUUAGGGUCAGUAAAAUAACGGCGUACCUUCUCUGAGGGGAAGUGCAUAUGGACUUCUCCGGUUCCAAUGUAGAUAAUUGCUUUAACGGUGCUGAGGAACGGUCUUCCAAGGAUGAUGGGUGGAUCGUACUCGUCUUCUCCUAUGUCAAUAACUUGAAAGUCUGUGUAGACAAAGUGAUCGUCUAUUUUGACUCGGACAUCGGAUAUUAUUCCUUGAACUUCUCGAAAUGUCUGAUCUGCCAUCUGGAGCUGAAUGUAUGUUGGUCUUAGUGGCAUGGUCCCGAACAAGAGCCGAUAAGUGACUGCGGCCAUUAUGUUGACGCCCGAUCCGGUGUCGCAAAUCGUCUUGUAGAAGUUAUAUCCAUUUACGGAGCAGUAGAUGCUUGGCAUUCCUGGGUCGUCCUUCUUGGUCAAACACGGUGACUUAAGUUGGUGAUCUUGGCCUCCAUGGACUACAGUGACCAUCUUAGCUGACUCGGUCCAUACUUGCUUGUUCCUAUUUCUCCUGUUGGUCCUCUUCCUUGAUUCACGUCUGGAUUGAUCUGGAAUUCGUGUAGUCUUGUUCUUGAAGAAAAAUGUCUCCUUGUAAGGACCUUGAUGUCGCCUAGAGGGGGGUGAAUAGGCGUACCAAAAAAACCUGAAACUCAAAACUCAAGUUGCGGAAGUUAAAUGCCUGUCGGUACCACCGACAGUUUGGGCCGGUACUACUGGUGUAAGACAGCCAGUACUACCGACGCAACUGUUGGUACUACCGACGCCCUAAGAGGGCUACGAAAUCAGAGUAUUUUGAGUUUCUAUUCCAGAUGUGAGAGUUACCCCACUCUCCUAGAUGUAGUAGAGGAUGAUGUUGAAGUUCCCUUGGCUUGGUUCUUCUCCAAAACAUAGAUCGGCCCUUGUUCACCUAUGAACGGGGUAGAUAGGAAGAACACAAAAAACACAAGAACAAGGGUAGUCGAAGCUACCUCCACAGCAAGACAUGAUAUUUAUCCCGUGGUUCAGCUCGCCACCAAGGCUUGCCUAUGUCCACGUUGUUGAGGAAGCCACACAGGCUUUUCGGGUCUCUUUCAACCCUAUCCUCGUUCUCAAGUCAAGAGAGCAAUCCCUUGAGAUGAGGGGUGAUUUCACUAGGUGAUUUGAGUGACUACAAACCUCCCGAGGCUACCACAUGAGUAGGAAGCUCUACGGGCAAUGCCUAGCCGGCUAGGAGCCUUGCUCCAAGAGUAACAAACACAAAUCCAACCGGCUUGACGAAGAAAUCAAGUGCUCAAGCUUUGCUUUGAUGUUUCUCUCACCAAGAAUCCUUCUCUCACUCAAUCCCUUGCAAGAUUUGAAGUUAGGAGCAAAGGGGAUACACGAGAGGGGCUUUUGGGAGCUAGAGAGGUGCCUUGGCUGAAGGUUUGGUCGAGUGGAAGAGUGAGCCAACGGUUAGAAAGAGGGGAAAGCUAUUUAUACAGGUGUUCAGAACAACUGCCGGUACUACCGGGGCAACCACCGGUACCACCGGCUACCUCAGAUCUAACGGUAAGAAGUCUCUAUGAUUUGCGAGAAAUAAGCCUACCGGUACCACCGGGCUUUUGUCGGUACUACCGACCAUUGCCGGUACCACCGGUGGAAGGCCGGUACCACCGGCAGUUCAAAUCUCCGCAACCAAAGUCAGCGCGGAUUUGGCCUGCCGGUACUACCGACGUUUCACACCGGUACUACUGGUGCUGGCCGGUACCACCGGCCCGAGCCCGGUACUACCGGUAGUUCAUUUUCUUGCAAAACUCAGGAGAAAGGGCUGGCAUUGCCGGUACGACCGGCCCUGAGGGUUGGUACUACCGGGUCACCUUGGCAGAGAAGAAAUUUCGUGAGUGCCUAAGAGUGCAAGUGUUAGAGUGUCUCUCUUUUGAUUAGUUUUAAUACUUGAGCACUCUAUCUUCCUCAAACCAACUAAAUUUGCAUCCCUCUUUAUAGUGCGGCAAAUCCUAAACUCAAGGUCAAAAGUAUAUAACCAAUUUAACCACUUGAGUCUUCAAUGUCUUCAUAUGCCACUUCUUCUCAAUAUCACUUCAUCAAGGAUGCAAUUAACUUUGUCUCAUCUUCUUUGAGUAAAUAUAGCUUGAGCAUGUGACUUUAAUCAUUUCAACAUAUGUGAGUUCAAUCCAUGACUUCAAGUCACUUCCAUUAAAGAUUUUGAUCCUCAACACAAUAUGACUCAUCAUAGCUUAAUUAGUACCUCGACUCAAUGCAAGUACUCUCUUCUUCACCUUAGCCAUGGUACCUCGGUCUACAAGCCAUUGCUUGACCUUCACCUUCGCUUAGUCCCUCGAAGCCUUUUCCUUGCUAUCUUCACUCUAUCAAGCCAUACUCAAGUCACAUCAUGUUAAGCAUCCAUUGAAAAAUUGUUUCUUCAAUAUUGUGAUUCUUGCUUGAAUAUCUUCUUGAUAUGAGCGUUAACAUUAAACAAGCUUCAGUUUACACCAACACACAACUUUGGUCUUCAUUUGAACAAUGUGUGAAAUACCAUCAAGUUUGCUUUCUUGUUGACCCUUUGAUACACUUAGCAAACUUGUUAGACCCUUAAUUGUGUUGUCAUUCAAUUCACCAAAACCCACUAAAGGGCUAGAUGCACUUACACUCCUUCUUCCCUUUGACGUAUAAACUGAUCUUGGCAGCUCUGGCGUAGAUGAUAGCUCCUGUGGUGUUCAAAAAUGGCCUUCCUAGGAUGAUAGGUGCUCUCUCAUCAUUUCCGGUCUCUACCACUACGAAGUCUGCUGGGGCAUACAAGGUACCAACUCGGACACAAAGGUUCCUCACUAUUCCUUUUGGAAAAGUUAUCGUCUGAUCUGCAAACUGCAAACACAUGGUUGUCUCUAAUAAAGGAUAUGUAAAGAAUUUCUCAUAGAGUACCCUGGGUAUAAUGUUGACGCUAUAGCCAAAGUCAUAGAGUGCUUCUGGAACAUCCACCAUGCCGAUGGAGAUCGGGAUGACGGGGCGUCCUGGAUCGCCUCUCUUGACCGGCAGACGGUCAGUAGAAAAUUCAGUGACGGGGUUACUCCAAUUACCUGCAUGAAACAUGUCUACAAGAUUUGCAGAUUCUAAUCCUUCCGUUUGUGAUGGUAUACCGGGGUUAGUAGUAGGAACAGCAGCAACUAUUUGAUUUAACUGAGAUUCAAUCAUUUUAUUAAAGCUAAUUUGAUUCUUGAUGGCAGUAGAGAAAUUAUCCAUUCUAUUAUUUAUAUUUUCUAGCAUUUUAUCAUUUGAUGCCAAUUUCUUAGACAGGUUAUCCAUUAGCUUUCCUUGAUUAGACACUAACUCUCUCAAAGGUGGAAAAUUAUUAUUAUUGUUGUAAGAAUUGUUACCUUGAUAAUUACCUGAGUAGUUAGGCCUCUGUUGAUUCCAACCUUGAUUUUGUUGAGGACGGUUGUAGUUGUUGUUGUUGUUGUUGAUGUAGUUCACAUCCUCAAGCAUCUUAGGGCAGUGGUUGCCUGAGUGUCCAGUGUCUCCACACUCCUCACAAGCCAAAAAUGCUUGUUGGGUAUUCUUAACAUCAUUACCAAAAGUAGACUAAGUUCUCUAAAUCUAGUAACGGUGCCAAAAAUGUCAAACCUAUCCCUCACACCACUUAAGCCAAGUUGUCAUCCCCAGCAUGAUAUAAGAGACGCGGUAUUGAAAUAUGCAAUUGCUCUUCUAAAUAAAUAAUGAAUUGGAUCUGCAAGCGCACAGAUUAAUACCGAUGUAGCAUUUUAACCGGGAAGUAUUCCAGGUAUCGUUAUUUAUAUUUUUACCACUGGGAAGGGAUUAGCAAUCAUCACUACUGAUUACAGAAUAGAAUAUGAGAUUGAGCAUCUAUCAUUGCAUGUAUAAUUGAGAACAUUAUAUCUAACUCUUCAUACAGGGAUAAGUGUCACAUAAAGGAUAUAUGAAAUAAUAAUAGUGACAAAGAUAAGUAAUCUGAUCUAGCCACAUAAUAAAUAUGAUAAGCACCUCAAUUAGAUACUCUAGAAAGUCAUUAGCAUGGUAUUAGAACGAACUACAAGAAUAUUCCCUAAGUUAUUCUCAACUAUAUAGUCUAGCAUAUCAUAGUUAGUGCAAGCAUACUUAGCAAUCAUUGCGAGACAAGACUACGCCCAUGCAUAGUGAUAUUAGCAAGGAAUAUGAGAAACAUAGCAAUCACUCCCCUGUAAUAAUGUUGCUCUGCCAGCCCAAUACACGAGAGGGGGACUAUAUAAGAAUCAAUGAAGCUGUCACUAUCACGAACCACCCCACGAUCUGGCAUAUUGGGUACAAUCGCAGAUAAAUACGGUAUAAGCACCACGCCUACACAAUAUCUAUCAUUUACCCAUGGAUCUGAUGGAUAAACGCUAUACGAUCCUAAGCAUGUAUAUAGAUCCAAUCUAACUAAGCCAAGUACAUAACUAUGAUAAACUAAGAACAAUAUAAUCUUGAAUAUAAGCAAGUAGAGCAAGGUCAUAAGCAAUAUAUUGAAGUAGAACAAAGUCAUAUUCAUAAUAUUGAAGAACAAAGAUAAUUAGAAAGCAAUUAGAAGCACAAUUAGAGAAUUACCAAGAAUCCUCUUGACAGAUCCGAAAACCAAUCGAAGAUUGACUCCUUCUAGUUCUAAUCCUAUGUAGCUAUGCUAAUCUAGAUAUCUAAUUGAUGUGGUGGCUCUAAUCUUGAUCAGAGGCUUCUUCUCCCUUGAUGGAACAAUGAAUUAGGGUUGAGAGGCUCUCUCCUCCAGGGGCCAGGGGGUCUGGUUUUAUAGUCCCUUCAAGUGAAUAUGGGCCCUUGGAUCAAACCGACAUAGAUUGUAUGGUUUAGAUUCAUCCUUUAGGUCGGUGGAGACUUCCCGCAAAGCAGAGUCCUGAUUGGACUUGGGAGCAGGGCGGGCGCCCAGUAGGACAGGGCGGGCGCCCUGUCUCUAGCCCUGAUUCGCCUCAGCUUCGGUCUCGUGGCUUCUGGAGUCUUCUAGAUGUAAGAUAAUUGCGCAGCACGUUAAUACCUUUACGUAAUCCUGACAUGUGGGCCUUUCUUCCAUAUUUCCUGAUAACCCCCUGCAGAAAUAGACAAACACCAAAACUCGUGGAAUUCUGUCAGAUAAAACCCUAAGUCUAGAUCUUGAAUUCAUUUGGAUCCUUUUCUUUAUUUAUUUGAUAAUUAAAUUUGAUACUUAAGGACCGUCAACAAACUCCCCCAAGCUUACCUCUUGCUCGUCCCUGAGCAAGGAUAGACUCAGCUAUGGAUCAUAAGUUGUUGCUAUAUUUUAAAAUUUUGACGGUACACAUGCUUUUAAAUAAGAUCUCAUCUCUGAGUUAGAGUAAACUGUCAAGAUUUAAAACUUACUUACUUUACCUACACCAUGGGACUUGUAACUGUCACUUCUGUCUUGAGUGGUUAAAAGAUAGAACAGUCUAGCCAAGUGCCAUGUCUCUUAUUCUUGAUCAGCUAUAACUCUGGGGUUUUUUGCAGAUUUUCAAAUAAAACUCAAAGAUUCCUUGUAUGAUUCUCUCAGGUCUCUCUUUUGUGGUAUUUUUGGAUCCUUACCAAGGCAUUGAUGGUAUAUGCCUUCUCUCAAGAUAUGUAGUAUUUGUGGUAUAAGGCAUAGUGACAUUGCCUUCUCUCUCACCCUACUCUAAUAAGGCUUUAAUAUCUGGAGCUCAUAGGUGGGAGAUAAAGUGUACAUACUUACAAGACAUUUAUUGCAUAGUCAAACCAUGGAUCCAAAGUAACAAGUCAUUAAGCCAAAUCAAGAUGUGCAUGUGUGGCGAAUGAAUGGUGUAUGGUGAUGAUGGUGAUAACAAUGGUGAAAACAAUGGUGGUGGAUGUCUAAUUCUACUUUGCUCUUUGAGGGGAUACAUACCUUCCUUGCUUUUGAAACUUUAUGAGGAGAAUGAGAUGCUCUUCUUUUUCUUGUCUCUCAGGUGGGUAUCUUGCACCCCUAAUUCUACUGUCGGACACUUGUCCAUUUUUACCUCUCGUCUCACUCUUUCUUUUCUUUCGAGGUUCCGAGCACUUGCUCCUUUUUAUUUCCUCGUAUAUUUUUUUUAUUUUCUUCUUUUUUCUAGAGCACUCAUCUCUUGAGAUAAUAUAGCAAGUGGUAGUAACAAGAUAACUUGAGCAUUUAUUUCACAAGGGGAAACAGAAAUAUUUUUGGUUAUUCUCUCCCGGAUUAGGAGCAGAAUAUUUUUGGGUGAUUCUGGAGAUGGAAAUGGUUGGAUAUAUGUGGAUGGUACUUCCGGAGUAGAAGUAGCAUAUAUGAGUGAACGUGCAAGUGAAAUCUUGAUUUAACCACAUGACAAGCUCCUAAGGGUCUACACAGCUUGACCACACUCAAUGCUCAUAAGCAGUAAAUAAUAAAUGUGUGGCUCAAAGUCUAGCAAGCAUGUAUAUAUGGCUGUGGUAGGAAUUUAAGCUCUCAUCAUACAGGAACUCAUCAUGCAACAUUUUAAAGAUUUUCAAAGAUAAAAUUCUCCAGAAUUCUAGCAUCUCUAGGAACAGAUAAACAGCAGCUCAACCUUCCCAUAUCGUAUCCGUUAACAACUUAGACUUUAGAUCAAGUUUUCAUCCCACAAGUUUAGGUCUAGGGCAAGCUUUAAAUUAUAACAGUUAUAUCUAGACUUGAGAGAGAACUUAGAAUGUGCAAAUUAGGCAGAGCAACUAUUCAUCAUAUCCAUGCUUAAGUUUUUGUUUAGAUACAGAUUAGCAUAGCCACUUUAUUUAUUUAUUAAACACACUAAGCAAAAGACAUAUAUAAGCAUAAAAUCUUUAUUUGGUUUUCCCAUAGUUUAUGUGU
rnacentral:lncRNA from 1 species